rnacentral:lncRNA from 1 species
UCAGAUUCAAUCUGUUUUGGAAAAUUUAAAGUUAACAUUUGAUUCUUCCAUACAUCUGCUUUAUAUCAACAAAGAAAAUUGCAUUUCUAAACUUAUCAACGUGGAUGGAGCUAUAGUGGAAGAUCUAAUGCAAUUACGUGAAAGUCCUCGUCUGUAUUUGCUCGCAUCCAAGGUCUAUACGAUGUCGUCUUAUCACUGCAAGAAUAAGUUGAAAUAGUUAGGGUCAUUUCUAAGUCCUAGGACAUUUUUGCCCUCAUUAUACAAUUGUGUUGAAUUUUCGAAGGUCACG